AUUUUACCAUAUAUGUUUUUUAUUGAAUAGAUUGUUUCAAACUUUCACAUAAAUUAGGUUUUUUUUAUUAUGUUUUUUGGAUUGUUAUUUCAUUAUUUAACUCGUAUUUUAUAUAAAUAUUGGUAAAUAUUUUUUAUUGUUACCUCGAAAAUAUUGUAAUAUUUCACAAAUUUAAAAAGUUUUAAAAUUAAAUUUUUACCUACAUAUAUUAUCGAGUAGAUUUACAUUUGAGUAUACUUGUCUCCAUCAAAUAGAUUGUUUCAAAUUUCACAUGUGUUUGUUUGUUCGUAUAUGUUUUUUUGUUUGUUGGAUUAGUAUUUCAUUAUUAAAAAAAAUAGAAAUGGAAUUUGGAAAAUAUUAAAACAUUAUUAUCUCCAAAUAUAAUAAAACAUUUCACAAAAUAAGAAACUUAACAAAAACUAAACCUUAAGCUUCAUGUAUAAAUUUUAUAAAGAAUUUAAUUUAACAUUUCAUUAUAUUUUUUAAAAUAAAUUAUAUAAUUUUAAAAGUUAAGAUUGUAAAGAGUUAAAUAGUAUACAUAUGGGUCAAGUUAUUUUUUUUUUUAAAGUUUAAUGGUCAAGUAUUCUUUAAAUUCAAUUAUCAUAAGAUCACAAAACUUAGUACAUAGAUGCAUACGAUUACUAAAAAACAAAUAAGCACAUAUCAUCUCACAGUCUCAUCAGCGAAGAUCAACUCAAGAGUAUCUCCUCCAUAGUUGGUUCUCUGUCUCCACGAAUGAACCAAGUUCACUUCAAUGCGCCACCCUUGCUUGAAUGGCUUGAUGUUUUUAAGCAAAGAAACAUUUUUAUUAGUAGGCAUGGCUUUAGGGGUUCGAGUUUUUGAUGAUGGUUGAUAUUAUGAAUCUUGCGAUCAAUAUUUAUAGAUGGGUAGUUAUUUUUAGGGUAUUUUACGAAGUAUAUUCUGUGGGAUUUGUAAUUAAUUAUAUACAAAAUAUAGAAUAUUAAGAAUCAGUUGUUAUAGUUACCUAUAUUGUAGAUAUUGAUAUAUUCAUUGUAAAUCUGGUAUCAAGUAUAUUAAAUCGAUGAUAUUGUUUAGGUUGUUAUGGAAAAUAAAAAGAUUUUACGUGAUUAUGUUUCGAAAAUAUAGGAAACAAAUUGAGAAGGUCACGACAACAAUAAAUAUGUGAGCUUGAUCUCCAAGUUUUAAAAUAAAUGCUUAGAAUAUCAUAUAUGUUAGUACACUCACGAAAACUAUAUAUUAUUUAAAAGUAGAUAUUGCUUUGAUUAGUUAUAACAGAAUAUGAAUUUAUCUUUAUUUAAUUUGAAUUGUUAACGGAAUAGAUGUAGACAUCUAUUGUUGCAACUAAAUGUAGAUAUUCUAAAUUUUUUAUAGACGUUAACAAUGGACCAACUUCAUCUUCUCCAAAUGCAUCAAUUUCUUCAGUAAAUUAUUAACAUAGUUUCAGAGCUUACAAUCCAAUAAUCUUUAGUAAAUGGUAAGACAACUAAAUGAACGUAAUUGUAUCACGCGACAAUUAUUUUAAUAUUGUCUUCUGCUUUCAUUGACUUCAAAAGCAUAAAUGGACGUUAACAAUAGACCAACUUCAACUUCUCCACACUAAGAGUGAGUUACCUUCUCAGACACAUUUUUCUCUUUUUUAUCAUGAUAAGGCACUUUUCACUGGAGAGAUACAUUGUCCUCUUCCACCCCAUGUGGUUUUACAGCAGUAUCCCUUUACGUUUGGUUAAGGGAAGUAAAAAACUCAUUUCUUUUUGUUUGUUUGAUUCUAUUUAGUUAGUGGGGACCAGAACUUUUCACUUAUAAAAAAAGAGUGUAUAUUUUAUCUAAAAAGAAAUAGAAAGCACGAUUGAUAUCUAAAAAGAAAUGAAAACACGUACAAAAAAUAAAAGAGAGCGAAUAUGUAUCAAAAGUAACUUUUUAAAUUCCCCAAUAUGUUAUAUGUGUCAACAUUUUAUAUUAUACUAUAUAAAUAAAUAUAUAAUCACAUAAAAUAAAUCAUUAAUUUUUUUCUUUAUAUUUUGAUAUCCAUAUGUAUAUAUGUAUUUUAAUAUUUUUUAAAAUCAAAUUUCAAUUUCAUACGGAGUAUUUUGAUAUUUGUGGACACAAAAUUUGUGGAUACAUUUCUCAUGGACACAUUUGAAAUAGUUGUGGACAUAUGUUUUGUCGAUAGUUUUUUGGUAUUUUGUAGAUACAUUUUUGAUGGACAAAUUUAAAACAUCCACUGAUAUGACAGAGACAUUUAGUGUACAAUAUUUUAUAGACAAAAUUUUGUGGACAAAAAUCUUAAAGUCUUACAAAUUUUAUGUACAAUUUUGUGGACAAGAUUGUUUGUAGACAAAUCAUACAAAUAUUCAAAGCUUCUUUUUCCAAAUCAGUAGCAGACUCUUACAUCUUUUAUAGUCACAAAGUAUUUCCCAUUCAAAUGUGUCUUGGAUUAUGUUCUCUUUGUCCCUCCAAACAUUCUGUUAAGUUUUUUGAACUAUAUUGUGCUACUCUUUCCAAAUGUUCUUCAAAGUUACAAACUUUCAAGAAAUUUAGAGAGACGUUAUCAAGUAUAAGCAAAAAAAUGACAAGGAAAAUGAUUAAAAACUCACUCUUUGUCACUAUUAUUACAGAUCUAUAGAUCUACAACUCUUGAAAGGAGAAAAGAGUUAAGGUAGACGAAAUAAAAAUCUCCGAAGACGAGCUCAUUUGAAGUUGGUUGACUAACAAACUUCUUUUUCUUCUUCGACUUUGAUUUGGCCAUGGUUCGCGAUUUACAGAGAAAAAAGAAAAAUAACAAUAAAGUGAAAAAUUAAAAUCAAACAAUAUUUUUGCGCCUUUUAUGUUUUCAUGAUACGAAACAGAGAUGAAAAGGGUCUCGAUGAAAAGUAGAUGAAAAUGAAAAAAAAAAUGUAGAAAGACAGAAGAGGUGAAGAGAAAUAACAAAAUCAGACAUGCGACAAGGAUAAAAGCUUAAUCGUAAUCUUCAACAAUUAAUGAAGAAGAAAGAGAGAGUUUGGUGAAAUUAAAGUUAGAGAAUUGGGGAAGUAAAUGAAAAAGUAGAUCUGAGAUUGUAAAUUAAUUUACGGACUUUUGGAAAUUCAAAAAUAAAAUAAUUUUGGAAAGUGUAGACGAGGGCAUCUAAGACAAUACACAUAGAGAAAGUGUGUCUCCAGCAACAAGUGUCUUAUGUGUAAUUAGAAAGACAUAAUGUGUCUUAGAGAGUAAAAAUUUCCCAUACUAAUCAAUGUGUUGAGUAAAUUAUUAACAUAUGUUCAGAGCUUACAAUCAAAUAAUCUUUAGUAAAUAUUGUCUGCAAACACAACGCUACAAAAACACAAUGAUUAAACAAAUAAUCUGGGAAGACGUCUGUGAAUGUCAAAUUUUACAUGAAAACCACAAACUCUACUGAGUUAUAGAGAGUUAUAUCUAAGCGCAAAAAAAAAAAAAACAAAACCAGAAACUCUCGUGAGUUAUAGAUUUAUAUGUCUUGAAAAUAUUUUUUUAAUAAUGUCUUUUAUUUAAUAUCAAGAUUACUAAUGAUUGAAAAUGUAAUGUAACCAACUCUAGUAGAUAAGUCCAUUUUUUUAAAAAUCAUACAUGAAUGAGAAGUUAUGACUUUUUUUUAAUAGAAAAGAUAUAAGAUGUAGAUAAUCAAAUAUGGCAUAUUAAGUAAGGGGGAAUUUUACUUCUACACUUUCUUUGGUACCACAUUUCAAGUAUACCACUAGUAUGAAGACAUUUUUAUAAAUACAUAUUUUAUUAAUGACCAAAAGACCAUACUAGCCCUAACCUUAUUUCUCCCUCGCGAUCCUUUUUUCUUCCUCUCUCUCUCGCAAUCUUUUUUCUUCCUCUCUGCCUCCGAUUCACCGGAGAUCCACCAUCUCUCUCUCGUGAUUUUUUUUUCUUCCUCUCUGCCUCCGAUUCACCAGAGAUCCAUCAUCACUCUCUCAUUCCACCGGUUCUCUGCGGUUCACACUGUCGACUCGUACUUCUGUACAAGAUUCCCAACUGGUAUGCAUCUAAUUUCUCCUUUUUUUUGUUUGUGUCGAUUAAUUUUGCGAAAUUUCAAUUUUGUGGUUACUCUAGUCGAAAAAUCAAACAAGGUUGCUUUAGACUUCUAAUCUGUACAGGUCGAUCUAAGAUAAACAGUUUUGAUUGUGAAAACAUUGAGUUUUUGACAACUUAAGACCCUUUAUAACCCUUUGUAAAUCUAAGUUAUUUUGUAAUGUAAUUGAUAUGUUCAGUUCCCGAGAAGCUGUGUUCAAGCUUAUAUGAGAGCCACAACCCUGCCAGCACACAUUUGCUUCGAUGUACAAUGAAUCUGUUCCCUUUAGCGAACUAAUCUCCUCUGAUUCCUUGAUUGCGAAACCUCUGUUUCUCAGUUGUUGAUUUUGUUCCAUUUACUUUUUUACUUGCUCUCUCUCUCACAUACAAAGACCAUAGCUUUUCCACAAGUGUCAUGGCAGAAAAUUUUCAGGCUUUCUAUAUCAGAUUUUGAGUGUUUGGUUACUUUAACAGCCUGCUUCUGCUGAUGGAUCUGGAAACUGAAAAUCGAAUAGCUUCGGUUCUGUUGAGAGAAGCAGCAGAGUUGAGGAGACAAGCUGAAAAAGAUGGUGUCCGAGCUUAUCUUGAGAAGCCUAAUGUAAGGCAUCGACCUAACUCGAGGUUUCUCACAGCAACUGUCCUUGGUGUUCAACAAUGUAAUGCUUUUCUUUCCACCCUUUACUUAUUUUCGUUUUACAAAAGUUAAGAUUGAAAAGGAUAAGCCUUUGCAUUGCUAUAGUGUGUGAUAUUCUUUUGUUUGUUGAAACAAUAGUUGUAUGUUUUUGGAAGAGGAUUAUUUUAAUUGUUGGUGAAUGGUCGAUUCACAAUAAGAAUGUUGGCAGAAUCUGAAAGUUUUGUUUUGGGUUUUGUGUUUCUUAACAGUUCAAUGUUGUGACUUACGUGUCUGUCUAGUACUCAAUGUAGCUCAAUAUGUUAAUUAUUUACUCUAAUCUCUUGCAUGUUUCUUGACCAUAAUACAACAAACAGAGCGGUAGAAACCAAUGAGAUGUGGAAGGCUCAAAAGCAAGAAAACGAAAGGCUCAAAAGAAAAUCAAGAGAGGAAAGCAGCAGCAGCAGUAGCCAAAUGAAGCGGAGUAGUAGUUUCUCGAAAAGGAGUUUGGAUAAGAAAUGUAGCUCCAUUAAUGAGGAGAGAAAGAUCACUCAUCAAUCAUCAUUGGACAAAAGAUUGUACUUGGAUGAUGAUGAUGAAGGUUUAGGAGAUGAUGAGAAUUGAGUCUUUUCUCCAAUCACAGUAUAUAUGUCUAUUUGCUAUAGCUUCUGUUACCUUUAGCUUUCUUCAUCUUCUGAGUCUCUUUGUAAAUGACAGGAACAAACAUGGGAGAGGCUCUGUUGGUCCUAGGAUGGAUGAAACUGUCCCUUAUCUUCUCACCGAGAAGGUUGAUCAAUUGCAAAGUUCUGAUACAAGGGAAAGGAAGGUAGUCUUGCUGCAGCUUGGGCUCUAACUAAUCUAUAUUAUCUUGCAUGUUAGAAACCUCUUAUAAGGGUUUAUAAAACUAUUUAUAAGAACUUAUAAAUCAUUUUUAAGGUUUUAAAAAUAUAUAUUUAUAAGAGUUUAUGAAUCUGUAUAUAAGGGUUUGUAAAAAUAUUAUAAGAGUUUAAUAAUCUUCAUAGCACAAUUUAUAAGAGUUAAUGAAUCUUUUUCAAGAGUUUAUAAAUCUUUACAAACAUUUAGAAGUAAAAUAUUCAUAAAGCUAUUAUAAGUGUCUAUAAUUCUAAUAUAAAUGUUUGUAAAUUAUUUAUAAUAAAUAAAAGAUUAUUUAUAAUGGUUUAUAAAACAAUUAAUAAGACUUUAUAAAAUCAGUCUAUAAGGUUUUUUAAAUAUAUUAUUAAAGUAUAAUUCAUUUAUAAGAGUUUAUAAAAUCAGUUUAUAAGGAUUAUAAAUAAUUAAUAAAUGUUUAUGAAUGAUUUAUGAAGAUUUAGAAAUCAUUUAUAAACCUUUAUCAAUAGUUUAUAUAUAUUCCUCAUGUGGUGGAAAACAGCAAGAUGAUGCAGUAGAGGUUCGUGGGGAUAUUGAGUUUGCUGUAUAGUUCUUAGCUAAGAAUAAGAGCGAGUGUCUCCAAGAAAAAUGGGGAGUGUUGGAGAAGUCUCUGGAGGCGGCUUUAGAUGUGGAUCAGACGAUCUUCGUGGUUGUGGCGGAAGACGUGGAGAGGAGCAAAACGACGGUGUUAUGGGGGGGGGGCAAGAAACUUCUCCAGCAAGAAGAUUUGCUUGCUUUACGUCCAUCGUCCUGCUCGGCAUGCCUCCUGCAGUGAGAAUCUUAUGCUUCUCUUUCUCUCUGACUUAACUGUUUUGUGGUGAAUUAUAAAAUAUUUAUGGAUGUUGAAUUGUUCUUGAGUGUAGAUUUGCUCAUGAAUCAUGAUUGAAUCGUACCGAGUCUAUAUAUAUAUAUCCUUUAGU